ACGAUUAAUCAGUAGAGCAGCCACGUGACAUAUACAUGUAGACAUAAAUGGUAGUAAAAGUGGAUCUCUCUCUAUCAUUAUAUACAAUUACAGUUUUUCUAUGAUAUGCUUCUGUUUGAAAGUAGUGUCCCUUCAUUCCUGGCGGUAGUGUGUGUUGUUUAUGAGUAGAAGUCAGAAUAGGUAAGUUUUUACUAUGCUUUUUGACAAUAUCUCUGCAAUAAGGUCUGCAACGAAAUAAAACAGUUAACCAGGUUUCUUCCAGAUCGUCUGCAGCAAAGGAAUGACAUACUGCAAAUUCGGAGAUAAUGCUAUUUUAGCAUCACAUUAUAUGUACAUGUAAUAAAGGGAUCUCCUAGCCGAGAGAAUAACACUUCAUUGACUAAAUCUAUCCAGAUGACCAAUGGACGUGGAUAUCUUUUAUUGCACUGUUGCCUUGCAUCGUCGUGAACAGCUACACUUCCUGAUGUCCUGUACAGACUUUUCGUGAAAAAUUAACUUCAAGCUACAGUUUAAAAUGCAGAUCUCGGAACACUGGAUUUACGUUGUGCCCUCAAGACUUUUCUCAGAUUGUGAAAAUCGCUAACUAGACAUUUCAAGCAACCUAUGAUUUUCAGCAAGUGUGGAAAAAUAAAUUGAAUUAUUGAAUGUGCAA